rnacentral:miRNA from 1 species
AAGUGGAGGUGUGAUCUCUUC